AACGAACGCUGGCGGCAGGCUUAACACAUGCAAGUCGAGCGCCCCGCAAGGGGAGCGGCAGACGGGUGAGUAACGCGUGGGAAUCUACCCAUCUCUACGGAAUAACGCAUGGAAACGUGUGCUAAUACCGUAUACGUCCUUCGGGAGAAAGAUUUAUCGGAGAUGGAUGAGCCCGCGUUGGAUUAGCUAGUUGGUGGGGUAAAGGCCUACCAAGGCGACGAUCCAUAGCAGGUCUGAGAGGAUGAUCAGCCACACUGGGACUGAGACACGGCCCAGACGCCUACGGGAGGCAGCAGUGGGGAAUAUUGGACAAUGGGCGCAAGCCUGAUCCAGCCAUGCCGCGUGAGUGAUGAAGGCCCUAGGGUUGUAAGGCUCUUUCACCGGUGAAGAUAAUGACGGUAACCGGAGAAGAAGCCCCGGCUAACUUCGUGCCAGCCGCCGCAGUAAGAC
rnacentral:rRNA from 1 species